GAUCCUGGCUCAGGAUGAACGCUGGCGGCGUGCUUAACACAUGCAAGUCGAGCGAAGCGGUUUCAAUGAAGUUUUCGGAUGGAAUUGAAAUUGACUUAGCGGCGGACGGGUGAGUAACGCGUGGGUAACCUGCCUUACACUGGGGGAUAACAGUUAGAAAUGACUGCUAAUACCGCAUAAGCGCACAGGGCCGCAUGGUCUGGUGUGAAAAACUCCGGCGGUGUAAGAUGGACCCGCGUCUGAUUAGGUAG
rnacentral:rRNA from 1 species